AAAAUGGUGAAAGCUAUCGCCAGACUCCAGCGCCAUGUGAAAGAAAUUAAAGGGCUUCAGCCAAAGUCCUGUGAAGCCUGCAGUUUGGAGGAAAGGAGAGAAGCGGAGUUGACAAUAAUCAAGAUGGUUCAAGAAGCAACCUUCUCACAAGAUAUACAGUUACUCCAAAGUGACAAGGAGACGCCAGUCAAGGGCAAAGCCAAUAAGUUGCACCGGUUAAGUCCAUUCCUGGAUGACCAAGGUGUCCUCAGAGUUGGAGGCCGCUUAACUCAUGCUGCCCUACAUCCACAGGUGAAGCAUCCAGCGGUCCUUCCAAAGGACAGUCAUGUGUCAAAUUUACUUGUCAAGCACUAUCAUGAAAGAGUGUACCAUCAAGGACGAGGAAUGACCAUGAAUGCGCUCCGAUCUAAUGGCAUAUGGAUACUGGGCUGCAGCACGGCUGUAUCAUCCCAUAUCUACAAGUGCACUAAGUGCAGGAAGUUCAGAAGAUGCACUGAACAGCAGAAAAUGUCAGACCUUCCAGAGGACAGAAUGGAAACAGCUCCUCCAUUCACCUACUGCGGUAUGGACUGUUUUGGACCAUUCUACGUAAAGGAAGGAAGGAAAGAGCUAAAGCGUUAUGGAUUGUUACUUACCUGCAUGUGUUCCAGAGCGGUUCACGUUGAGAUGCUUGACGAUAUGACCACGGAUGCCUUCAUUAACGCAUUGCGUUCAUUCAUCGCCAUUCGUGGAAAGGUACGUCAGAUAAGAAGUGAUCAAGGAACAAACUUCGUCGGAGCAAGACGAGAGUUUGCUGAAGCAUUGAAAGAAAUGGAUCAGGAAGAGCUCAAGCAGCUUGGAUGUGAGUUCAUCAUGAACACCCCAGCUUCAAGUCAUAUGGGUGGCGUCUGGGAAAGACAAAUUCGCACCAUAAGAAGUGUCUUGACGUCCAUUCUAGAACAGUCAGCUACGCAGCUUGACUGCUCCUCUCUAAGAACGUUCCUGUAUGAAGUCAUGGCAAUAGUGAACAGUAGACCUCUGAGCACUGAUUGUCUAAAUGAUUCAUCCAGUCCAGAGCCCCUGACACCAAACCACAUUUUGACCAUGAAGUCCACGAUACUCGCUCCACCUCCUGGGAAGUUCGUCAAGGAAGAUCUAUACCUACGCAAGAGAUGGCGUCGAGUUCAAUUCUUAUCCAACCACUUUUGGACAAGAUGGAAGAAGGAGUACCUCCUGAGCCUCCAACAGAGACAGAAGUGGACCAAAGAUCGCAGGAAUGCAAAGGUCGGCGAUGUUGUACUCCUGCAAGAUGAUACUACACCACGUAACCAGUGGAGGAUGGCAAAGGUUAUCGAAGUGUACCCAGGAAAGGAUGGGAAGGUGCGAAGACUCAAGUUGCUCAUCAGCGACUCAACCCUUGAUGAGAAGGGAAAGCGUAUCUCCAAACCUGUCCACCUGGAAAGGCCCAUCCAUAAGACGGUGACGCUGAUGGAAGCAGACUGAAGACUCCGACCUCUCUCUUUCUUUUCCUCCCCUCUCUCUCUCUAUCUGUUUCACUACAGGUGCAGUCAUGGUGAUCGUUCUCUGGGGAAGCCAAGGACUGAAGUUUAGUUUUUUUGUUUAUCCUUUCUACGCAGUAUGUUGUCUCUCAAUAGUUGAAGAAAAUCAUAUACAUGUGAUAUGUUUUGGUGGGAGUGUAACUGCCUCUGUGUCAGUCAGUGCAGUAUUUCUGAGUUAUUUAUUUUGGUAGGAACCAAAGUUCUCUAAGGCGGAACCUUUGUUUUUGUAUCGCCCGUUUCCGUCAGGACAUACUUUAGCGUAACACUCAUCAAAAAGGUCCGCUGAUUUAGUACAUGUUUUUCAGUGCUGAUGCAUCUGCAAAAUAGCUCUUAGCAUCAAGAUAAACAAUCCUACAGAGUAAUGCCAAGCUACACAACUUUCCUCAUGCAAUGCAGCUACUAAGUUUUCACGGUCUGGAUGAACCAAAUAAAUCCUGCCAGUAAACAAAAAGGAAACUCGUUGCUGUCGUUUGUACUGAGGGAAUUAUAAUGCCAUUACGAGACACUACCACAGGACUCUACCUCCUGGUCCUGUCUGUGACCACUCUGAUUGGUUCCUGAAUCCGCCCUGGUUUUGCAGCGUGCUGUAAAGCGUUCGAUAAGCCCUCUAAAAGGUGUCAGAACAUUCUGGUCUUUUUAUCUUCUUUUUAUUUAACAAUCAAAUAAGGAGUAUUUAUUGUUUGAAGUCUUUGCUCUAAUAAUGAAUAUAUGCUUCUUAAAAGAAACGUGUGCCUUUGACCAUUGAAGUCCGAAAUUACAGAAACGUUUACAACGGAAACAACAAUGCUACAGCAUUCCUGUUGCUAGAUGUCAAUGUGUGCUGAUUCAUUUGGGUGACAAGAGCAUUGUAGGCUUAUAUUGAGAUCUUAGAGUUCAAAAAUUAACUUAACAAAACAUACAUAUUUAGUGUAUUUUGCUUCAAAGCAGAAACCCUUGCCUCACUAUAGAUGACGAUGACGAUUGAGUCAUUAGGGCAUUACAACUCACUAUCAUGCAGCACUGUCCACACUAUUUAGUGGAGACAUCCUCUUAUAUUUCUCUUUAAUUUAAUGUCACCUAGAACCUGUCAGUCUACAUCAGUAGGAUCUUUAUCUGCCAUCUGCAUUUUUGCAGACAAAGCACAAAUGACUAGAAUUUCCACUGCUGCUUGGGCAUGCAUAUUUCUGAACGGUUUGUGAUGUGUCUCAGGCAAGAAGGCGUGUUUUCGAUUAGUCAGGGUUUCCUGCAUCCCUUUCUGACAUUAUGUUUCACUGACGUGUUUCGCACACCGAGGAAAAAAAGCACAGAAGGAUAGGAAAUCGAAUUUAUAUUGUUUUUAGAAGAUGGUUUUGAGUGCAUAAAAUAAAUGACGAAAAGUAAACUGAUCAAAUAAUGGUAUUUAAAAAUGUCUCAAUAGGCAUACACUACAUUUAAAUAAUGUUUUUGUUGUACAUUGCUCAUCCAAUACAAACUAACGGGAUCUUCAGGGUGUAGGCCCAUUCUGUCCACUAGGCGGAGACACUUGCUUACUUUGGUAUGUAAGUCAAUAUCUGCGGUUCCUAGAAAGUCGGCAGGGAUCAUGCUCUCAUGUCUUUUUGUGAAGUGUUUGUGAUUCUUGAGUGGUUUUUAAUAAAUAUAUUUUCAAAGCUAUGUUUAAAUAUCCAAGCCAAAUCAAUUGUGUCAACAUGUUUACGUGUAAACUACUAAGAUCUCAAAAAUACUUAUCAUCCACUGUAAGGUCGUCUACAAUUAAAUAGCCAACUAUUGAACUUACUAAUGCAUUAAAUGUGUUCAUGGUUUGUAAACGGCAGUAAGGGCUGAAUGAUAAAUGGCUGUAUCUCAACGAACCAGCUUAUCAGAGUGACUGCUUGCCCAGAGAACAAAUGUUAGAGAAGAUGGGGAAAAACAGCAGAUGGCAACCAUGCUAUGUUUUGAGUAUUUAACUCGAGCGACAGAAAUACGAUCCUGUCGCUAAUCUGCCGCACCUCUUUACCCAAUAGCUAUCUGGUUUAGCCCAUCUCCCUGUGCACCC
ensembl:lncRNA